rnacentral:sRNA from 1 species
UAGAUAUGGGGCCGACGAAAUACCAAAGG